GGCAAGAUGGCCGAGCGGUCUAAGGCGCUAGCUUCAGGUUCAAUACAUCCUCACCGAGCGUGUAGAGCUUGCUAGUAGAGCAAUCUGCGUGGGUUCGAAUCCCACUCUUGUCA
rnacentral:tRNA from 1 species